rnacentral:lncRNA from 1 species
ACACACACACACACACCAGUUGCUGGUGCCGCGUCUUCUGCAAGGGAAGAAUUGUACACAUGCGCCCGACGCUCCGCCGUCUACCUUGCCCCUCGCACUCUCCGACCGCCGCAAUCUGGCCUUACGCCGAUGGCAGGCUAUCCUCGCAUGCACAAGCGCCCCCUGGAGCCGCCCCUGAUGCGCCCCCUGCUGGGGGGCUACUACUAGUCCAGUCUCACCGCAUCUCCCCUUCCCUUCACUCUUCCUUCCCCUCAGUGGCAAAGGUCGCAUAAACAACGGCCGGUACGUCCGCUAGCUCAGCUUUGUGAGAGGACAGAAGACUCUGGGCAACUGAUCCGUCUUUCACUGCCGCUACCGUCACCUCAACAUCACCCAACAACAUCGUUUAUUUCCCAGGCAUGGGGCUGACGAAAUACAUGCUUAGUUUUUUCCGAGAUUGCAUUUCAUCAAGAAAAUUAGGGAGCUACUAGAAAUAUGUAUUUAUUCUGAAUCGGGUGUCAAGUUGGUAAUUGAUAGUCUAUGCAAAGGAAUUAGUCAAUAUCUACAUGUUGUCUAUUCAUAAUUUUUCGCUGGGAAAAAUCUGUUGCUAUUGGGAAAAUUCGAGUUCUGGAUGUAUGAAAAAUUGUGGGUAAAUUUAGCUAUCGCCAAUUCUGAAAUUCUAGUCCGGUUGUGAGAUGUCGUGGUGGUUCUUGCAGUGAAACAUGAGAUAUUGGUGUGUGAAGUGGACCGCGACAUGCGCCGUUGGGUUGUCAAGUCUUUACCGCCUGUCCAGACAGAAUUGUUUUCUCGUUACAAUGCUAUUCGCUACCUGAAAUGCAAAGGAAUUAGGUGGUAAGGGGUUGAAGAAGUGCAGCGCAGCUCUGACAACACAUCCUCUCACUAUGUUACAAUUAGUGCUGUGAUAGUUUUAUCGACUUACUCUGGAGCUUUUCUCCUCUGACCAACCCUGCUCUCUUUCGCGUGUAACACUCCGAGCGAGGUCGCUCGUUAAUACCAAGCUUCAUUAGUUCUCAUCUCCCAAUGUGAGAUUUUUAUGAUUGAGAUACUCAAGUGUAGAUGAAACAAUCCGUUAAAAUUCUUCGCUUUUCGUAAUCAAAUGUAAGGAGAUUGCGUUAUUGACGCAGCCGUAGCCUAACGUCUCUUAGUACGAAUAGAAUUUGCCAAUUUUUUCACCAUAGAUGGUCAAGUAGCCCCAUUGCAUUAACACUUUCAUCCUCCUGUUUAUCGUACAACGAAGCUGCCCGAAAUGUUUCUGCAUCAAAGACGUAAUUUCGCUCGUAAUUCACCACCGCUAUAAGUCGAACUACUGAGAUUUUUCUGCUGCCGAGGCUAGCCAGCUGAGAAAACUUUACACCACUGCUUCUUAUGUCACUGACGAGCCAUCGUUCGUGUAACUUUUGUCCUUGACUGUAGCUGAACACUUGAUUCCCUUGCCUACACAUGCCUUUACCAGCGCUUGUCCCUUGAUACCCAUCCUGUGCACAAGGAGAUACCAAACGAAUCAUUUGGUCUGUAUUACCUACCGUCUGCAAUAUUUCCCGUUUAGGCCAGAUGGAUGUCGGCUGCAUAUGCAGUUUUUCAGGGUUAAUCUUUACUACGUAGUAACUCUAGUAACAUCGACUCCCCCUACGCCAUCAGCCUCCUCCGCCAGACUACUCCUCAUUCUUUACUGGCAAUUGCUGUCUGGUUUGUGUCUCCUCAGAGGUUUUAAUAAUCCCGUCCAUCUCAUACGAGUGCGCAUUUUAGCUAUGCUUGAGCCAAAAAGUUUGGAUACGGUGGGCUAUAAAGUCUUUCAUAUAUCCAAUGGCAUUCACCGAAAAAAACGUGUAGUAUUGAGAACGUAAAUUACCGAACGAUUGGUAUUUAAAACCAAGUCUAGUGUGCGACCGCGAACGCACGUCCCGAUCCUGAAUAUUCUAAUAUAUCAAGUAAAUGACAUUUUUAUACGGGACCGUUUGAAUAAUAGAAUCAUGCAUAUAAUAAAUAGUUCCUCGCCUUUUCUGUUGCACUCAAAAAACCAAGUCGUGUUUGAUGGCUUGUAUAUGAAUUAUAAUUCCACUAUCUUCACAAAUUGCGGGCUUCUCAUUGGACUAUAAGGUGAACAACGCGUGUUAAGGUUGAGAAUGAUGCUCGCCAAUUUUAAUAGGUAUUCGUUCUUAUAGCUUUCGUGAUACAAUUUGUGUAUCUGGUCAGUAAAGAAGAUCCAUUUUGCGACACUUUCACGGCUUCAAGCAAAAUUACUGUAUUUUCACAUCGCGUUUAUGGAUGAAGCCUCGCACAGUUACUAACUGUAGUGGAGCUUUCAGUUCGAUCUUUUUUUAAGCACUUAACGUCCAAAGCGACGUAUCGAUUAUAAAAAGACUGCAGCAUUUAAUAAAUCGUUUUAUAUGGUGAACACAGUGAAAGUAUAAUGAAUCAUUUAAAUACUCGCGCCUCUUGGUGCAUAGCAGAGACAAGUUAAAGUUAUACCAUCAUAGUUAUAUUGUUUAAGCCGCGGGCAUAUGGCCCUUUCAAUGAGAUAUCUUGCUCUCUGCAAAUAACGUUGUGUCGAUAUCAGCUGUGUAUUAACCAAGUGUUCACCAUAAAGUAAAUGUCUUCAGAGCUGCAGUCUAAAACUCUAAAUGCGAUGAAAAGGAGGAAAGAGUUGUAUUGCAUUUGCUCGUGCCCCAGGUACAUGGAGUUUUAAAUGCAAAAUGUUUCUAUUAUCGUGCCCUAGUGACACUCGUGUGUCGUGUCGUGCUGGCUCGAAGUUAUGCUGGAGUUAAGAUCCAAUUUGUCCGAGACCGUUUAUUUUAGUGGUCGCUUGGUUUCCUUGGGCGAUUUUAUUCGUACGUUAGCUUUUCAUUGUCUCGUAUGUUGACCAACAUACUAUGGCCGACAUCCGCGUUUCUGGAUCGUGAUUGUAGCCUGUGUUACUGGGUUACCAAGAGUCCAAUGGCAUCUCAGCUUUACCGAUGCCACCAAAAAUGAGGUCUUUUCCUGAAUUCUUAACAAAAAACUGCAAUUAAUUUGUUAAAACUUAAAUUAUUUUUUGUUCUUUUUUGCCUAGAAAUAACUGAUUAAUCCUUCGCGUUUGUCGAGCAGGCUAAGGACCGUCGCGUUUAAGGUUUUGAUUGCUGUCGUUAGGCACGACUAAUUCUCUGUUUUACGUACACCUUAUGGUUAUUGUUGUACGUACACUUUAUGCUCAUUCGACCGAACUGUUUUUAAUUCGAACUUGGAUAAAAGUUCCUUAAUGUUCAUGGGCUGAACGUGCUCGUCUGUAUAUGUACUUUUGCAUCAAUAUUUUUAUUGGAGAGAAAUUGAAAAAAUUCUAGUUGGCAACGUGAGACCAAAUUUAUGUUUGUUGGAAACUUACCAAAUCUAUCGUAGAUUUACAUCUAGGAAGAUAAGAUGAACUUUCAUGUUCAGAAAAUGAGAAUUAAAUUUAUUUUGAGAACUUCAGAAGCAGAUUUAUUUUCAACGCUUUAUUGGAAAGAAACGAACUGAAAUUAUAUUCAGAUGGAGAUAUAAAUGUUCUUAGAUAUUAUUUGAUUAUAGUUUGAGUAUCAAUGACCUGGUCUUACACGAGCCACGUUUUCGGUUCUCUAAAAUUAUUUAGUUUUAACGUUGGCUUCAAUUAUUCUCAGUAAAGUUAUUCCUCCGUUUUUCGCUUUGUUCUUGUGGGUGGAUAACGUUGAUUAGAUUAAGUAUUUCUCUUGUAAUGAUAAUGGGUGUGUCUUGCCUAUAAGACGCGUGCUGACAAACUAAGGGCGUUUUUCCAUAAGCUUUCUACCAAAAUUCUGUUUACAUUGAAUUUAUUGUGCGCUUGUGUCUGGAACCUAUUUAUCGAGUUUUCAUUCAAAUGAUCGAGCGUUAAUACGCAAAUUUUAACAUAUGGUAACCAGUUAAUGGCAAAAAUGACACCCUGGAAACUAGACUUGUUUUGAGUGAAGAAUGAAAACGAACGUAAAAAUAAGAGUAACUAGUCUCCGUGCAGUUCUGCUGUCGGUUGCAAAAAAAUGAAGCAAUGAAGAGUAGAAAACUUUAGGAAGAAAGUUUUUAGAUUGCCAGUGCGCCCUUGAUACGCACCAAGGCUGAGGUUGUUCGCUGACCAACCUGCUGAAUGUUGUGCGCUAGCGUCCUGUGCUGUCAGGCCACGCAUCCUGCACACUCUUAUUUGUUACCUUCAUAUUUCAUACCAGAUAGAGUUAAUUGACAGUGAAUAUCCGUGAAGAAAAGAAUAUCUAAAUUUUGUGGUGCAGAUAUUACGGAUAAAAAUUGGUCGUAUUACUUAUAUGCUUAUAUUGGUAUUAUUUACUAGCUUCAAUUGAGAAAGAUAGGCAACGAGCAUCAGUUUUACCUACUUCUAUUUUAGUGUUGACACAUAAACUACUCCAUCAUAUUGCCGAGCCUCCUGAUUUUUAUGAUGAUUUCCGUUGAUAUUACCCAUAUGAUUUUGGUUAAUUCUGCUCGUAUGGUGAUUUUGUUUCGUAAAAUAGUGAGCUUAUGCUUCUUUGUCUAAAUGCGCUCGAAUCGUGCAAGAGGUCAGAAAAUGAUCUAUAUAUAGUACGGAAGGAGACAUUUAACCACUAUGACCGAGUUGUGAACUUGAGAAAAUCAAUUGGUUCUCUGCAAUUCUCUAUUUGAUACGAACCGAUCCUUCAGAAAGCAUAUCUUUAUACUUGUACCAAUUCCUAAACAUGGCUUAGACAGUGCAAGUCGCUAGCGGUCCGUUCUAAGCAUUCAUGAGCUGUAAAUUUACUCUCGUCGUCGUUUAUUAACCGUGUACGCUAGUAUACUUAUAAUCUUGACUAAUAAUCUCGUGUUGUAGCUAUUGCCUCCUUAGAUCAUGUGGCAUAGCCGUCCAGGUUUAUAUCUCGCAUUUCAAUAGGUUGAAAGCGAUCACGCUCCUUAAAUUUAACUCAAAAUUUGCGGCACGUUAAUUGCACGGAUAACUUUAUUCAUUUCCUUGAGAUUUGUAUUCAUCUUUAUUGCUUGAAGUCUAUUGUCGAACUUUCUGGGUAAUUUCUUGAUGAAUGAUGUAUGCAUACCGAUUGCAUGGUCAUCGGUAAAUUCUUAUUAUUUACUCGUAUCUAUUAUUUAGUGGAAAAUCGUUAUUUAGCAACCUUUGUCCGAUUCGAAAUCGAUGUACGACUUUUUGACUGCUCUGUACCUCGUGAGUUGUUUGCCGUUUCUAUGGUGGAUGUAGGGUUUAGAUUUUAGGUAGCUGUUUGCAUGCAUUACAAUGGAAUAACGUCACUGAUUCUCAUCAGAGAUAUCUUCUUGAGGCCGAGCGUGGCGCUCUGGCUCUCUUGCUUCAUUUCAUGUCUGACGAGGCGGUGGACUUUUUUUGUCAGUCUUUGGACUGUCUUUUGAAGCUCACUCCUAAGCUCUUUGAUGUUAACGGCAAUGUUUCAUACGUCUUGAUUGCUAAUGUUUUAUUUGUAAGUAAAUCAUUAAUAUUUGAAAGUGUUUGGCAGAAAUGUCUAUAGUUCCUAUGUCGAUGCUCGUAGUCAGUUUAUCGAAGCAGCUCUUGUCUAAAAUUUAUUGCGUAUGUUAUAGGGCUUCAUUAAUUCAUUGUGUGAUUAUAAGACGACGAAUAAGAAAACAUUUGCGUUAGCAUGAAGCUGUGCAUGAGGUCGCGCUAUCGACUGCGCGUGAAGUGAACCUUAGCUGCGCGUCUCUGAAUUACAUUAACAGCUUGUAUCCUAUCAAAAGGUUGGAAUUUCAAUUACUGAUUAACUUUAUAAUCAAUCGUUCAUUCUAAUUGCACUUCACUUUCACUUUUUUUGUACAAAUCCUACAAAUUUCGCGCGUAAAAUGUGUGUCUAAGACCAUCAUUAUUUCACUUCUGACACUGCUUUCUCAAACAAUUUGGUGUUUGCUUACUUCUUUGUAACGACUGAUGAAAAACAAAAACAGUGAUUACUUAAGUCCCCGUUAAUUCGUUUGCGUAGCCCCCUUCUGACGAAGGGUAUUGGAUCGUGUAUGUAGUAGCUUGUAUUCGCAGACCUGUUCCCAGAGUUCGUCUCACGCUGAUCGUUAUGCACGACCUCUCGUCAGUUGUCUGCAUGAGUUUAACUCUUCGUGUUUAAGUUAAUCGCUGUACUGCAACUUUGAACAGAUACAGCGGUAUGAAACAAUUGUAAACCAAACUUGUGCACUAAUCUCAAAAUAAUGGCAGGUGUGAGCAGUUAUUUGUUUGUACUAUUUACAUGCUAUGAGCUUAUUUAGGUUUACUUUCAAUUUCGAAAACAAAUGAUGGUAUCCGAGUAACUUGACUGAUGUAGCAACGACUAAAACUGGCUCCAGUUAGCCAUUCGAUCGUAAGUGUAAAACAUUCUCGAAUGUAUUACAUUGAAUUGAAUAAAGUAUUUUGUGAAUUUUACUGCAAAUUAAGCAUGUGUUGAGAGUAGGUAUGCACUUCAUCAUGAGUUAAUUGUGAAGUAGAUGUGCGUGUAGUCUGCAGUAACUUUUAUUGCCUCCAGCGUUGUCUUGGCAGCUACCGCGCUACAUAAUUCUCUUCAGACCGCCCGGUCGGCAGCAGUAAUUCUUACCUUUGUUUUCAACUUAAUUUUAUGAUUCUUAUAAGUCACAACCGAAAUAAGAGAAGUUGAAAAAUUGUAUCCUAUUUUUUCAAAAUGGCUAUUAUUGUAGCAUCAGCUUUGAUUUAUAGAUUCAAAAAUUUUCGGCCGGUCUCAUUACGAAAUUUGUUUUUGUCAACGGGGUAGAUAUCUUAUCAUUUUUAUCAUGAACAGAGAGAGUAGUAUUUAUUGUUCUUGCUACGGCAAUAUUUCAUGCGUUGUGUUAGUAUUGUUCGAAAUUUACUUAAUGAUUGCGUGAAUGGUAAUUUGCUAAGUGACGACCUUAGUUUUGUUCCUGUGUAAUGUUGACAAGAUUAGUGCAGGUAUAUUUAGGUAGGCCGACCGGGUGCGUUGGUGAACUUGUUACUGUAAGUCCUGAGAGCGCGACGCUUGGUUCUUCCCUCACCGCUCACCUGACAACAUUACCAUCCUCACUGAGUGCUCAGCCCGCCUUUAAUGAUCAUAUACUAGACAUGCUCUCACUGCCACGUGCAGCUUUGCUAUGAACCGCCCCGCGGUUCUAUGAACUAAAUAUGAACUUUGCUAUGAACUAAAUAUGAACUUUGCUAUGAACUAAAUAGAGUCGCCUUCAGAAAUUAUUAGUUCCUCUCAGAUUUCUUCUAAUUAGCAGCAAAGAAUGCUAGAAACUUUGUAUUCUCAUAUAUACUUUCAUCAUUUUUUAUAUUAACACGGUUGAUGUUAUCAAUUAUUAUACUAACAUUCUUUGUUGUGUACUCGCGUUCGAGCUUCUUUAAUUUCAAUUCUGAAUUACAUUGGUCCAAGUGUGGUGAAACUCGCUUGUGUUUCAGAGUUAGAUCAUAGAAUAACUUGAGCCAUGCUUCUUACUUGACUACUUUAAAGCUAUUUAAUUCAUCAUCAAUAUAAACAUCCAUAAUACAAAUUAUGCAACGUGCUAAAAGCUGUUUUACAAAUUGAUAGUUCCGUUAAGAAUUUGACAUAGGCAAUACACUCCAUGAGUACGAACACCUUGCGGGGGUGACUGCAACAUUUGGGCGGGCUAGAGCACAAACUCCUGUGAUAUGUCGCGAUGCGGUGAGGAGAAGACCAUUACAGUGCUGAAGGACAUUGCCAAUCCUCCUACUCCUGAUAACACACAUCGCUUUCUUUGAACGGUACCUGAGUCUCCUAGAAGUACUGAUGACUUUGGCCUUUAAAAUGGUUAUGGUCUGCCUUCUCGAGACUCCCAUUAAGUCUUAGUGUCUUCGAAAAAAAACUAAAUAAAGACACAUGGAAGUAUAUUUUUUUAUACCGUCUGUUACUUAAUUUUUUUUUUUGUUCUCAUACCACUGACUAUCUCUCAAAGUACAGUUUAAUAAAGUAUUUGAAAUACCA